ACUCUGACCUCACCUUUUGCCACUCUAUACCUUAACAACUACUUUUUGGUGAGACUGGUUUUCUUUCUAUUUCUGGAACUCAUAAAGUUCUUUCCUGCCUGAGGGUCUUUGCACUAGCUAUACCCUCUCCCUGGAAUGUUCUUUCCCCAGACCUUCCCAUCGUUGGCUUUUUUUUUUUUAAUUUCUAGGUUAUCAGUUUAAAUGCUGUCUUCUCAAAGAGGCCUCUCUUGAUCACCCAGUCUAAAAUAGCACCCCCACAAAGACCAGCUACCUGAUUUGCACAACCCGGUACAAAAUGAAGAUGUGAGGGAUCUUGUAAGAAAAGGAAGAUAAAAAUGAUAUGAAAGAUUAAUAAGGAAGAACUGAAAAGAAAGGAAACUACUCUGUCCCGUCUUUACCUUUCCUUUUACUGACAUGGUUUGGCUCUGUGUGCCCACCCAAAUCUCACCUUGUUUGUGAUAAUCCCCAUGCAUCAAAGGACAGGACCAGGUGGAGAUAGUUGAAUUGCAGGGGCAGUUUCCACCAUGCUGUUCUGAUAGUGAGUGAGUUCUCAUGAGAUCUGAUGGUUCUGUAAGGGGCUUAUCCCUUCACUUGGCACUCAUUCUCUCUCUUGCUACCCUGUGAUGAGGUGCCUUCCACCAUGAUUUUAAGUUUCCUGAGGCCUCACCAACCAUGCAAACCUGUGAGUCAAACCUCUUUCCUUUGUAAACUACCCAGUCUUUGGUAUUUCUUGAUAGCAGCAUAAUAAGGGACUAAUACAUUACAUCAUCACUUUUGGAGUUAAUGGCUGGCUGCUACAAGAAUUAAUGAAAGAAGAAAAGAAUAAGACUGGGUUCUUUGGUCAUCUUUCAGAAUGUCAUUGCCUUCUUUUUGCAUUGGAAGUGUUAAAGUAAACUAUGGCCUGAGAAGGACUCUGUACUUCUAUAUUUGAGUCCUUGUGGAUGAACUGUAACCUAGCUUAAUAGACAAAAUUGAAAACCUAACUUGGUAGCAUGUACCUGUAAUAAUAGCUGAGUGUUGGCCAAUCCCAGCAGCCAUACUUCAACCACUCAUAGACUGCAGAAUGUGCAAACUGCAUUCAAAUAAGGCAAACACCGAGUAGUAACCCAUUUCACUGUUUCUGUACCUCACUUCCGAUCCCUGUACAUCACUUUACCUUUUUUGUCUAUAAAUUUGUUCUGAACACGAGGCACCCCUGGAGUCUCUAUUAAUCUGCUGUGAUUCUGGGGGCUGCUCGAUUCGCAAAUUGUUCAAUGCCCAAUUAAACUCCUUUAAAUUUAA